GACGAACGCUGGCGGCGUGCUUAACACAUGCAAGUCGAACGGAAAGGCCUCCUUUGCGGGGUGCUCGAGUGGCGAACGGGUGAGUAACAGGUGAGUAACCCGCGCUUGAUCUUGCGCCAACUUCAGGAAAAGGGGGGUAAUCCCGGACAGAUGCCCGUGAUGACUGGAGGGGGGUGGAAAGUUUCGGCGGUUGGGGUUGGACUCGCGGCGAAUCAGCCUGUGCGUGGGGUAGUGGCUGACCGGGGCUUUGACGGGUAGCCGGCCUGCGAGGGUGAGCCGCCGCAUUGGGACUGAGACCCGGCCCAGGCUCCUACGGGAGGCAGCGGUGGGGAAGAGUGCACCAGGGGUGGCAGCCUGGUGCGGCAACGCCGUGUGCGGGAGGACUGCCUUCGUGUUGUAAGCCGCGUUCGCUCAUGACUAAGCUUUGUGUGACGGUAGUGGGUAAAGAAGCACCGGCUAACUACGUG
rnacentral:rRNA from 1 species